rnacentral:lncRNA from 1 species
GCAGACCACGUUAGAACCUCGGCUCCUGGAGUAGCAGAACCUCGGCUUCAAUGGGACCCUCAUUUCAUAAAUGAAGAAACUGAGAUUCAAAGAGGGGAACUACCGAAGGUUACAGAGCGAGUUCGUGGGUAAGCAUGGCUUCCCAGAUGACCACCAAGGUGGAAGGGAUGAUGAUGUCCAGGCAGAAGGGAGCUAGGCCGGCCCAGGCUUUUCCUCUAGGCACAGCGGACUCCAGGUUCAGCCUUCCCGGAUGGUAAUGUUGCAUUCUGAAGAGCUACUUUCCCGCCAACUCAUCUCUGGACUUCUCUGGGGCCCAACUCUGGUUUCCUGCCUGCAGGAGGUCCCCUCUGACUUCCGACAGUAGAUGACCCUUCUGACUCACAGUUCUACUGCUGGGAAAUGCCUCCAGAGCUGCUGCCCACCCUCUCUGCAUCCCUCCAGGUCACUGGGUGUUGAGUCAGGGGAAGCAGGGAUACACACGGGCGGGAAACUCAGGUCUCCUAAAUGUCAGAGCCUCAGGACUUCGGCUACUCAGAAGUAGCUCCCUCCUGGGCCACCAGGGAGCAGCAGGGCAGCCAGCAUCCAGACAUCCCCCCUGGGUUCUGCUGCUCAGAGGCUAGAUGGAGAACCAAGGUGGGAAAAAGGCUUAAACCACAGCGUGGGGAGAUUUAGGUUAGAUGGGUCAGAGGAAGUUUAGGACAAGCCUUGCCCUUUUCAGUUUCUGUCCAGCUUCAGCACAGCCACUGCUUCCUCUCUUUGGUUUUUACCCAUCCCCCUCUCUCCCAUCACCUCUAUCCCCUUCCAGCUUUCCUUUCCUUCCCUCCUUCCCAAACCCCAGAGUUUCUCAGGAUUAGCUGCCCGUGUGCCUAUCUCCCCCACCCCCAUGCUUUCCUCACUGUCUCACAGAAACAGGCAAACACACACACAUGCAUACAACCAUGAGCUGGCCCUGAGAGUUCUCUGACUGGACUGGGGUUGGAGCCCCAGCUCUUGUCCUGAGCUGAGGCCCUUCCCCCAGGUAUCUUGGGGCUUCCAUCAUUUCUCUUGACAGGAGCUGUGGGCGUCUGGGCAGAUGGGAACCUGGGGGAGGUGUGGGGAGCCCUCUCUGAGGCAGGAAGCUCCCACGCUACUGUAGUUAAAAUAAUCCGGCAGCAACUUGGGGCAGCCAUCUGGGAUGCCCAGAUCUUCCAGGACACCCAGCUCUCAACAACAACCCUAUAGGAACAAAUCAAAAACCUAAGAGAUACUUAUAGGCCCUGGAAAUGUCUCCCAAAAGUGGCCUGAACUUGAGCCCUGUUUCCUUUUAUCUUCUUCAGGUUAGCACUGGGCAUUGGCAUUUGCAAAAAAACUCUAAGCAUUAAGCAAAACUUGUAGGAGUGGAAGAUACAGCGUUCUGGACCUCCAGUCCUAAUACCCAGCCACACCCCAGCAGCUAUGCAUGGUUCCAUGGGAGAGCAGGCAUAGCCCAUCCUGCUGGCAUAUAGUCCAGCCAUAUCUUCCAAUGCCCACCUGGAGACUAAGCCGAGUUCUGCCCAGCAACAGGAGCUCAGAGCUCCAGAGAGCCUCUCCUGGGGUGCAGACUCAGGAGAUCUUAGCUCAGGAGCAGACUUAGCCUGACUUCCUCUUUUAUAGGAGGAGACAGACUUAGUUACAGAGGAAACCAGAGUUGUUAUAAAUAGCAAGGAAGGGAGAAACCUGCUAUGGAUUACAAACACGCCAUCAAUCUUAAAACAAACUAUUUUUAGUUUCAAAUAAUAACGAGAGUCUAAUUAAUGCUCUGUAUAACUUCAAAUGUGGGAUCUUUAUCUGCCUUUCUACUUUGUGAUGCUUUCUAAUACAGUAUUAGGGCCAAAGGCAGGAAGAGAUGUGGGCAAUUCUCAAUGUUACCAAAUCCUAGAUAUGGAAAGAACCUGAGAAAUUUAGUCCAGCCCUUUCAUUUUCAGUGAAGAAACUCAGGCCCAGAGAGGUAAAAGGACUUGUCCAAAGUUGCAUAGUAAGGUAGGGACUGAGCAGUGACUAAAAGCCUAGUCCCUGUACUCCAGAAGCAGGACAGUUUCCACAGCAGCACAAUAGAACCCAAAGGCUAAACAUCUGUGGUUGGGCAGUUGGUGAGUUUAUAGCCUGGAUAAAAGUCAGGUCUAAGCCAGGUGUGGAGGCUCACGCCUGUAAUCCCAGCACUUUGGGAGGCUAAGGCAGGUGAAUCACUUGAGGCCAGGAGUUUGAGACCAACCUGGCCAACAUGGCAAAACCUCAUCUCUACUAAAAAGUACAAAAAUUAGCCAGAUGUGACGGCACAUGCCUGUAAUCCCAGCUACUCAGGAGGCUGAGGCACGAGAAUCGGUUGAACCCGGGAGGUGGAGAUUUCAGUGAGCCGAGAUCGCACUACUGCACUUCAACCUGGGGGACAAAGCAAGACUCUGUCUCAAAAAAAAAAAAAAAAAAAAAAAAAUUCUGAAUGAAAUAGCAAAAGACAGCCCAGAAGCUGAAGUGUGGUCUUCUGAGUCACCGAGUUUUGGGUUCACAUCCCAGCUCUGCAACUGACUAGCUUUGUAACCCUGGGCCUGUGUGUAACUACUCCAAGCAUCAGCUCCCACAUCUCAAAAUGAGAAUAAUCACACUCACUUCAUUACAGGACUAUUAUGAGGUUUAAAUGAGGUAACGUGGGUCAAGCAUCCAGCACAGUGCUCAGCAAAAAAUAGAUGUUAAUUUCCUUCCCAUUUCCCUCGGAUUCUCUACCCCUUCUUCAAUGGAUUCUUAUCCUCUAACUGGACAGAAGGGCAGAUUUGUCAUAAAGCAGUCACGUGAGGGAUAAGAAGUCUCACAUGAGUGUGAAUGAGGCUGGGGGUGGGGGCGUAGUUUAUGGCAAUGAAGUUUGCAUGGCACAAGUGGUCAGUGUCAGAUCCAGAGGGCGGGAGAAGACAGAUUUGCAGAAAAUUAUCCAUCCUCUGCUAACCACUCAGUGACGGGCCUCGGGGUUCAGGGUCAGUGUUUACAGGGGAGGAGGGAGGCUGGGCAUGCUGGGUCCUCAUUGUACACAAAUACCCCGGGCCUCAACCUCACCCAUGUGCCACACUGUGCCAAGGGUGUUACAUAACAUUUCUCUUUUAAUCCUCACAACAAUCUAUGAGGCAAAUACUGUUCUCGUCCCCAUUUUGCAGAAGAGGAAAUGAGCUCAAAGGUCACUUGGCUAGUGUAUAGUCAUUAGUGCUGUCUCCAAAUAUUUCCGGCUCUCUGCCUUCUGGCACAAGGUAGGACUGCAUGUUCUCACUCUUUGAUGCUAGCUGUGGACAUGUGACCAACUUUAACCAAUAAAACGUGGCGGAACUGAUGUGCGUCAGCUCUAGUGGAAGCAUUAAGACUCUGGCACCCUCACACCUAUGUUGUUCAUAGAGUGUAAAUGAGAAAUAAACUUUUAUUGUUAAACCACUGAA